UCAAGAUUAGGAAGGGUUAGUCACACCUAAACCAGAACCAAGACAAGAAACUGAGAUAAGCAAAGGUAAAGGUGAGGUAGACCACAAUGAGCAGAAACCGGUAAGUACAGAAUACAAACCUCUUGUGUCAUACCCUAAUGCGACAAGGAAAGACAUCUCAGAUGAACAAUUUGGUAAAUUCCUUAAACUUUAAAAAAAUUACAUAUUAACUUACCAUUUAUUGAAGCUCUAUUGUAGAUGCCAAAUGCAAUGAAAUUU
rnacentral:lncRNA from 1 species